rnacentral:rRNA from 1 species
AUUGAACGCUGGCGGAAUGCUUUACACAUGCAAGUCGAACGGCAGCACGGGAGCUUGCUCCUGGUGGCGAGUGGCGAACGGGUGAGUAAUGCGUCGGAACGUACCGAGUAAUGGGGGAUAACGCAGCGAAAGCUGUGCUAAUACCGCAUACGCCCUGAGGGGGAAAGUGGGGGAUCGCAAGACCUCACGUUAUUCGGGCGGCCGACGUCUGAUUAGCUAGUUGGUGGGGUAAUGGCCUACCAAGGCGACGAUCAGUAGCGGGUCUGAGAGGAUGAUCCGCCACACUGGAACUGAGACACGGUCCAGACUCCUACGGGAGGCAGCAGUGGGGAAUUUUGGACAAUGGGGGCAACCCUGAGCCAGCCAUUCCGCGUGAGUGAAGAAGGCCUUCGGGUUGUAAAGCUCUUUCAGCUGGAACGAAACGGUACGCUCUAACAUAGCGAGCUAAUGACGGUACCGGCAGAAGAAGCACCGGCUAACUACGUGCCAGCAGCCGCGGUAAUACGUAGGGUGCGAGCGUUAAUCGGAAUUACUGGGCGUAAAGCGUGCGCAGGCGGAUUGUUAAGCAAGAUGUGAAAUCCCCGGGCUUAACCUGGGAAUGGCAUUUUGAACUGGCAGUCUAGAGUGCGUCAGAGGGGGGUGGAAUUCCACGUGUAGCAGUGAAAUGCGUAGAGAUGUGGAGGAACACCAAUGGCGAAGGCAGCCCCCUGGGAUGACACUGACGCUCAUGUACGAAAGCGUGGGUAGCAAACAGGAUUAGAUACCCUGGUAGUCCACGCCCUAAACGAUGUCAACUGGUUGUUGGG